rnacentral:rRNA from 1 species
UGGGGAAUAUUGCACAAUGGGCGAAAGCCUGAUGCAGCAACGCCGCGUGAGUGAUGAAGGCCUUCGGGUUGUAAAGCUCUGUCUUUUGGGACGAUAAUGACGGUACCAAAGGAGGAAGCCACGGCUAACUACGUGCCAGCAGCCGCGGUAAUACGUAGGUGGCAAGCGUUGUCCGGAUUUACUGGGCGUAAAGGAUGCGUAGGCGGAUUUUUAAGUGAGAUGUGAAAUACCCGGGCUUAACUUGGGUGCUGCAUUUCAAACUGGGAAUCUAGAGUGCGGGAGAGGAGAAUGGAAUUCCUAGUGUAGCGGUGAAAUGCGUAGAGAUUAGGAAGAACACCAGUGGCGAAGGCGAUUCUCUGGACCGUAACUGACGCUGAGGCAUGAAAGCGUGGGUAGCAAACAGGAUUAGAUACUCUGGUAGUCCACGCCGUAAACGAUGAGUACUAGGUGUAGGAGGUAUCGACCCCUUCUGUGCCGCAGUUAACACAAUAAGUACUCCGCCUGGGAAGUACGAUCGCAAGAUUAAAACUUAAAUGAAUUGACGGGGUCAUAGUUGUUUCC